UCCUAGUUAACCUAGGCAGUCUCGCUAGAGUGCCCGCCAUUACGCGCUGGCAACUAACGACAAGGGUUGCGCUCGUUGCGGGACUUAACCCAACACCUCACGGCACGAGCUGACGACAGCCAUGCAGCACCUGUGCAACAGUCCCUUGCGGGAAAGCGACAUUUCUGCCGCGGUCUCUUGCAUGUCAAACCCAGGUAAGGUUUUUCGCGUUGCAUCGAAUUAAACCACAUACUCCACUGCUUGUGCGGGUCCCCGUCAAUUCUUUUGAGUUUCACCCUUGCGAACGUACUACCCAGGCGGUAUACUUAUCGCGUUAGCUACGACACAGUCGGGGUUGAGCCCAACUACGUCAAGUAUACAUCGUUUAAGGCAAGGACUAC
rnacentral:misc_RNA from 1 species